rnacentral:lncRNA from 1 species
CACAUCUUCAACUUUAAUCAUAGACGAUUCUUGUUGGAAUCCCAAACCAGCUCUGCUCUUGUUCUUGGCGACCUCUACCAUCUUGCCCCACUGAUCAGAAUUACCGUCUUCAACAAUCUUCUGCAUGUCUUUGAAGGAGGACAUAGGUGCCCUAACUCUCUUUUCUUCCGUAAUAGAUAGAGCUUGGAAUGGCGUUCCAAUCUCAUCCUCAACUUCAACAUACGAGAAUGACGACAAAU